rnacentral:tRNA from 1 species
GCGAUAGUAGCUCAGUAGGCAGAGCAAUAGCUUCCCAAGCUAUGGGUCACGGGUUCGAGUCCCGCCUGUCGCU